UUCUAAGCAAACUUGUACCCUGAACGCACCCGAUCUUGUCUGAUUUCGGAAGCUAAGCAGGGUCAGGCCUGGUUAGUACUUGUAUGGGAGACCACCUGGAAUACCAGGUGCUGUAGGCU